AGAAGGGCGGCCUGCAUGCUCUCGAUCCUCUCUCAGCCGCCUGUAGCCGGCGUGCAGCCAGCUCUGUGCAGCUCCCAUCUCAACCCGCCCUGCGCCCUGCUCCGUGGCUCCCCACCAAACAUGGGCAGGGAGAAUAUCUCACACCAACUCAUUUCAUCCUCCCCUUAUUUUAUUAAAACAGAAGAGAAAACUUCCAAGUUCAGAGUCCACUCUUUUCUCCCCCUUCCUUCCAGCAAACAGGAGACAUCUGGGGUGGGCAGUGAACAGUGGUGGGGUUUCAGGCUAGGAGAAGCUGCUGGUGGAAGGGAGUCAGGUGGAGCCCCGGCCGAGCUUCCCAGGCCCGCAGACGUCUACGUUUCCCAGGAAGUUGUGAGAACAGAGGAUUUCCCCAGGAAUCCGGGCUGGGCUUGUAAAGAAACAAUCCCAACAUCAAGAAAAGAAACCGGCCAGUAAAUUCCUAGUUAGUUCAUUUUCUAAGACUUCUGAAUGUGUUUUGAAUUUUCUCUAAAUUAAGAUAAUCAUAAAAGGUUAAGAUAUUUAGACAGAGUUCCACCUGAUCCCAGGGCUUGGUUUGUAUGCUUAAUUAGUUCCCGAACAUAUGGUUCAGAGCUUCUUAUAAAAACAGGGUAAUGACUUGAGGUAUAUUUUGGUAUUAGAUGGAACGAUGUUAAAGGGACAUUCAGACCCAUCUCAAAGGCCUUGACCUGCCCUUGAUCUGUGCUGGAAGCUUUUGCUGACAUCUGUUUCAAAGAGAUAUCAAAAAACUUUGCAGUGGCCUCAUGAUAAAACAAAAAUCCAUACGGAGAUAGAUAUCAGGCAUUAAAAUGCUUAGGAUUCAGCAUCGCCCGAGGAAUGUGUGGCCCCAGAACAUCACAGUGGGGGGUUUGUUGAGAGGGGCUCACGCGAAGACGUCGGCGGCCGUGGCUCUGAGCACUGCUGAGAGCACGAGGCCUUGGCUCGAUAUGGAGAGGGAGCAGCUGGGUCACAAAUGUCCCCAGGGCCCUUUGUUCUCUCGUGUGUUUCAGUCCCUGGUAAUAAAUCAGGUGCUCCUGUGUGCGGAACCAGCAGUUGCUUCCCCAGCUCCCAUGCAACCCCACUCUUCCCCAGCCCCACCCAGGAAGGCGCUUUAGGAGACUCCCCGCCACAGGAGUGAGGCGUCGCACCGACUCAUCCGCAGUCAUCCUCGUAUAUGUGUGUAUAUAUUACAUAUAUAAUCUUAUAUAUGUAUAUGCUCUGCAUAACACGGCUUCCAGACAGGCCCCUCCCCGACUUCCAGUUGGAUUUCUGCCACUAAGCCCUUCCCACAUAGGUGUUCUGGGUUCAUUCCAUCUGUGAAAACUUGGGCCAUGGAUGGGAAAUGUUCCCAUUAGACAGAGUCACCUAGGGCCGUAAAACAGGCCCCAGAGGGCAUUGGGUGCAUCUCUUUGGCUUCGGUGUACCAACAUUCCACCCACAUUCCUUCAUUCAUCUGUCUGGUCACGCAUCCUUUUAACCAGGACUCAUGGGGCACCUAUGGUGAGGCGGGGCAUGAGGUGCUAGGAAAAAACAGAGCUGAUUUAAGUAUAGUCCUGCCCUCCAGGAGCUCACGAUCUAAGGAGAGAAGGCAGACAUGGGGGGACAAGCAUUAAGUGAGGCCAGCCCCGGUGUCUGAGAGGGUGUGAGCACACGAUAUGGGAAGCAGAAGAGGAGGAGAUCAUUUCGGGCAGGCGGGAGAGAGCAGCUUCACAGAGGACAUGGAGGUUGCCCUGGGUUCUGAAUGAUGUGCCCGUUUGGACAAUGGGGAUGGAGGGUGACAAGGCAAUCCAGGUGGGGGGAAUGGCAGGAACAAAGGCCCAGAGAAAGGAAACCACUCCAUGGUUUCAAAAACGUGGUCCAAAAACAGCGAGUCACUUUCCAGCUUGCAAACAGCAUACACAUCCCCACUCCUCUGAUCUUCAAGCAUCCUUGUGAAGCUAGUAAGGCAGGUAUAAUUAGUUCCACUUUAUACGUAAGAAAACCAAGGUGCGUAGAGGUUGUAUGAUUUUUCCAAAGGUUUCAGAGCUCGGAUGCAGUGGAACCCAGAUUCAAACUCAAGCUCAAGCUUCCCAGAUCUACAUAAGGCUGAAAAGUUAAGAAAAGGUCAGACUACCAAGGGUCUUAAAUGCUGAGGAGGUUGCCAUCUCCUCUGCAGCCUCUGGGAGCCACUGAGGACUCUGAGCAGGGCUGGAAGAUCCCCUGGGCAGCUGUGAGCAGAAGAAGCCAGAGCAGAAAGAAGCUGGAAGCAGGAAGAUGAAGCAAGAAGCUGUGGCAGUCCCUCAGAGGUCAUUAGACCCAACCUGGGCCGCGGGCCAGAGGAGGAAGGAGAACACGGAUGCAAGAAGGGGAAGUUAGACUGCUCCCAUGCAGAGGGCAGGGAAGACGCUGCCUCUGCAGCUCUGCUUCCAAGGGGCUGGCUCCGUCUCCUCCCAAAGUCGGCUGGGCCCUGAGCAUCAAUGGCAGCUACAGUUUAGAGUGCUUACAAUGAGCAGGGCACUUUGGCAUGUAUUUCCUCAUUUAAAUCCUCAUGACAACCCUGUGAAGCGGCUUGCUCAUUUUACAGAUGAGCAAACUGAGGCACACAGUGAAGGAACUUGGCCAUGGUUGCCCAGGGAGGAAACGGCUUAGACUGGAAUGUGAACAGGUCCUCCCACCCCAAGCCUGAAUGCCUGAUCACUACCUACAACCUCCCCAUUAGGUCUUACAGGCCACUCCGAUGGCCAGGCAUGGGGUGGCUCCUGUCACCCAUCAGAGGGCAUCUGCCUAGCUGCCCUUGGCCUACAAAAGCCUCCCCAAUCUGGCCCAAAGUUACCUCCUUCCUUUGUUCCCUCCCCCUGGGUCCCGAGGGAUCCUGCUGCCACAGCCCAGCAGGCAGGAGGCCAGAUCCAGGCUGAGAUACAGAGAGAGAGUCUCUGUGAGCCGAGACCCAGCCUGGGGCGUCACAGCAGGAGACGUCAAAGCUGGGCCAAGCUCAGUGGGACGGAGAUCAAAGCCAGCAGGGGGUGGCAGAGCAACAAGGAACAGAAAGGAGCAGGGGUGAGGCCGGUCCCAUAUCAUUCCUGUGGCUGCACGGAUGGGCUGGGGCCUCUUUGAAGGUCUGAGACAUCUGCAACCCUGGGUGCCAGACAGAAGGCCUCCUCUCCUCCCUGGUCCCCUUGUGGGGGGCUGGGGGCCCGUGGCGGUCGAGAAGUUGUCUGUGAGUAAAUGAGAAUUCAGUCUCCCAACCCGGCCACAGUGACCUCUCCUCCUGGGAAUCCCUUCAGCUUGCUGCCUGGUGGCAGCACCUCAGGACGCCGGGUCCACAUCCAUGCUCUCUGGUGUGGCUGCUUUCAUUUUCCUGGGUGGGUGUGGAUCCCUCGUGGCUUGCUCUGGUAUACUCUUCAUGGCUCUGGGCAUCACACCAUGCACAGUGUAGGACUUCCAGAAAUCCUUGAGACCUGCCUGAUGGAGAGAUACAUCCUUCGUAUGGUCCAAGGACCAUAAAAGCACCCAGGAGGGACAUUUACUGAGAGCCAGGGUGGUACACGGCAUGGGAAGAAUGCUGUCCAGGGAGCCCAGACCCAAGGUUCCAUCUGGCUUUGCCACUGACUUCCAAAACAAGCCGCAUCACCUCAGUUUCCCCAUCCAUGGCACUAAAGAAGGGCUCGCCGUCCUAAAGUUUCUGCAAAGUUCCCACCUGCCAAACUGAGGCAUGUGGUACUUCCUCAGCCUCACCUUACCCCUUGAGAGAUGGUCAAAUGCAGGGGCUCCUUAUCUUCGCCCAUGGGCCAUCUCUUGAUCAGUUCUUAGUUCUGGGUCACCUCCUCCAAGAGGCCUUCCCUGACCACCCAGACUCCAACAGCCCCCUGCCCUCUCCCAGGCCAUCUCAACGGGGCUGCCCUGUUUGUGCUCUCCAUCUUACCUCUUCCUGUCUGGGUAUUUUUCCACUUGCUUGUUAACUGUCUCCCUGAAUAGAAGUUCCGGAACAGUAGGGAGCUGGCCGAGCAUGCCUCUGCUGCUCCCUGUUCUGUCUCCAGAGCCCAGGAGAGAGACUGGCAUGGAUCAGUUCUAGCUGCAGUCCUGCCAUUUGGGCAGCUUCUGGCCACCAUGAGAGAAUCGGUGUCACCAUGUCCAGCUGAUGUCAUUCCAGAUCACUACAAAGGAAUGUGGAGUGUCCAUCAGCCCAACUGACCUUGUUUGGAGUAACUACACCAUUUCAUGAGACUCAGAAAUUGCAAAAAUGCUCAGGAAUCCACAGAAGAAUCUCAGCCAGGCCCGGAGCCCCGGGAUCCCUGGACUGUGUAUUUCACUCUUGCCAGGGGUGCUGGUGCCAGAGGUCAGCGAGCUUUCACCUCCAUCCCUCCUCACUGCAGGCCGCUUCAGAGCCCCUCAGCCCAGCCGCAGUGCUGAGGCCGAGGAGGGAGGAAGAAGAGGACAGCUCCUGGGAGAGGCCACUCGGUGUCUGGCCCUCCAAAUGCAUGGAGUACAGAAACUUGGCUGGGCGCAGAAGCACCUCGUGACUGUGCAAAGCAAGUCCAGAUGGCAUGAGAUACACCACCACUGAUGCCAAGAAAUCCUGGGUGUGCCCCUUGGGGUGUCCCCUCCGAGGGCAGCCACAGCCCGGGCAUGGUGCACUCCUGACCAGUGGCCAAAGGCGCACAGAACCAGCAGCCUGCAAAGAAAAUUUGGUGAAUGCGGUUAGAUCAUGUCAACUUUAAUGUGCUUCCAGAGUAUUAACAACAACUCUGCAAGGUACCAAGGUACCAAGGUACCGUGUGACUCUUCAAAAGCUUCCCACAGGCCAUGUGUCCUUUAAGCCUCAUUCGAGAGAAAGACAGAACAGAUACCAUGGGUAUUGCAAAAGAUACUGUGACAAAUCUGAGGUCCAGCAAGAUGGCGGUGGAGAUGCGAGGACUUGAGCCUAGUUACUCACACCAGGCCUCAUCCAGAGGAUGCACACAGGGACUGUGUACCAUGAAGAGGCUGUCCGGAACUUAGGAGCAGGGUCAGCCCACACAGUGGGGCAGAUUGUGCACUGCAUCAGGGCAUCCCUACCAAAGGGGUCCCAAUCACAUCUUGGACAUGGUAGAUCUGCAUGUUUAUUCCAUUUCUCUGGAUUGCAAUAAAGUGUCUAUUCUAAUAAAAUCAGUAUAAUACUUUCCCAACUGACAGAAGUAACAUGUCUUGGGAAAGGGUCCUCUUUUUCUAACCUGCACAGAGGUCCUGCAUGACUGGCAGCAACCCUGAUAGAAGCCACCCAUAUCUGGGAAGGCUGUACUUUUCUGGAAAGAAGCCAAAAGGAAGAGUGGUCGUCUUGCUACUCCCCCAGAAAUUCAGCUGCCCUAAUGGCAGAGGAAUCUGGGAAAGGGAGCAUGCAGGAUAUGUCUGUCUACAAAUCAACAAGACAAAAGACAAACAGUCUCAGAGGAAAAUGGGCAAAGGGCUUAUCCACUGACUCACAGAGGAGAAAAAGGCAGGGAACGCGUGAAGGUUGGUUGUGGCCACUUGUCAUUGUUCAUCCUGCACAGCACCCCAACUCCGUUCCUCCUGACCCUAGCUGACCUUCCAGGACACAGCAGCCUUUCACCGUUGCAAGUUGUCAUGGAGGGAGGCAGGUCCCCCGUCCCACAAUGGAAGCCCAAGGGGGCAAUUCCUCCCUCUCCACACCCUGGGGUCUUGGAGACCAGGCACAGGAACAUACUUGGCAUUUGGAUUUUGGGGUAUGUGACAGAUCCCAUGUAUGCAGUCCUCAGCUUCACGUUGUCAAAGGGAACAUAAAUCAACAAAGAGACGCGUUUUGCACCCAUCAGACUAACAUAAGUUGAAAUAAUUGAUGAUAUCCUUGGCAGUGAGGCUGCAGGGAAACAUGCUCUUGUGCACUGAUGGUGAAAAUGUAAGUUGCACAGGUUCCUUGGAGGAGGAGUGGCAGUAUUUACGACAAAGCACCUGCUCUCCCACUCAGUGCUCUCACUUCUAGUAAUCCACUCUGGAGAAAUUGUCACGCAUGUGCACAAAGAUAUAUAGACAAAAAUAUUCAUUGUAAUAAUGAAAAAUUAGAGAUGAACUCAAUAUCCAGAAGUAGGAGGAAGGAGAACAGGCAGGCAGGGGUGAGGAAGACUGGACCGUGCUCUAUGCACUAACGUGAAAAUCUUCAGAGACACAUCUACCAACGACAGCUGACAAGUUUACCCUCCUAUAAGCACAAACACAAACGAAGAUUGUACUUCUGAUUGUACCCACAAUGCAAACACGUGGGGAAAGGUCUGAAUAGACACUCUACAGAUGGUUAACAGUAGUUGCUGCCAGGAAGAGAAGUGGAAUUUCGCUGUAUUUAUUCAGACUUUCACAAAUGAGUCUCCCUCUGUCUAUCCUUAUGUUCCUGGAGAGCCAUGUGGUUAGGCUCAUGGACUCUUGGGUUGAGCUGCCUUGAGUUCAAAUCCUGAUCUUACUGUUUUCUUAAAUGUCUGACUUUGGGCUCCUGAUCUGAGCGUUAAUUUUCUUUUCUGUUCUUUUCUUUUGAGGAAUAUUAGCCCUGAACUAACUACUGCCAAUCCUCCUCUUUUUGCUGAGGAAGCCUGGCCCUGAGUUAACAUCUGUGCCCAUCUUCCUCUACUUUAUAUGUGGGACUCCUGCCACAGCAUGGUUUGCCAAGCAGUGCCAUGUCCGCACCCGGGAUCCGAACCGGCAAACCCCAGGCCACCGAGAAGCGAAACGUGCAAGCUUAACAUCUGCGUCACUGGCCCGGCCCCAGCAUUAAUUUUCUUAACUGAGGAAAUCCAUAUAAUGUGCUUAGCACAAUGCCUAGCAUAUGAGAGUGGCUCUAUAAGCAUCUUAUUAUCUUGGCAUCUCUGCUGUCUCCCAGCCCCCAACCCUUUCAAAGCCACAGUAGAUGCUAAUAAAUGUUUGAUGAAUGAAUAAGCUUGCUGAUGGUAAGACUAUCUCCCUGAGGUCUAAAAAUGUGGAAAAGAAUAUGCUUAAAGAGGCCGAAUCUUACUAGUCUCACUUUUCCUCCGACUUAGUGUUUUUCACACUGUAGGUUAUAAUCAAUUAGGGGGUCAUACAUCAAUCUAGUGGGUAGCAAUCGACAUUUAAAAAAUACAGAAUAGAAAAUAUCAAAAUGUAAGUAAGAACAAGUAUUGUUUCCUGAAACUCGUUUUGUGGAUGUGUGUACUUGGUUGCAAUGUAAAUUGUAUUUUUUAAUGUUAAUCAUAGUAAAAAUUACAUGAGGAAACCCUGCUUCCAGCAGCCUUCCUUAGUUCAGUCUAGUCUAGUUCAGUGCUAAAGGUCAUGGGCCAGGGAGAGGCGGAGGUUCC
rnacentral:lncRNA from 1 species